UUGUUAAAUACUAAUUACAUAUUGGGACAUAUAAUAUUUCAAUAUCAUUAAUUAAUUAAAAAAAAUUAGAAAACGUGCCUAUUUUGAUGGACUUUCUUCCUCCCUUAACCCAAUUUCACUCAAACACUUUCAAUUUCCCUACAUUUCAUUUUUCUCUUUCGUGAUUUCACUCAAUCUCUUCUCAAUUUCGAUACUCCCACUUCCGGCGAGGGAUCGCUGCCCCGUCCGCCUCCCUGGAUCAGCAGUCUCACUCCCUCUCUCUCUCGUUCUCCUUUCAAUUUCCUGAUUUGGGUUGAAUGCUCACGCACAAGGUCGAGACCUAGCUCUUACUCUCAGAGAGUCGCACCGCCGCUGUCUAGACAAGUUCCGGCGAACGGUUGCUACUCCCUUCUCCUCCGGCGACUUUGGCCCUACGCUCUUGCCUCUCUGUUUUCUCUCUCUCGUUUCAGUAUGCGCCGCCUACUGGUAGUCUCCCUCGCUCGCUCCGUCUUCUAGCGGCCUCCGCCGCGCUCCAGCGAGGCCACGCCCCGACGAGGCGUCACCCCUCUCACUUGUCCCCCUCUCUGAUUCACUUUUCUCCAACAACUCAUUCAAGCCCUAGCUUUUUCUUCAUCAGAAAAUUCCGCCGCCUUCACUUGGGAUUCCAGUGAGCCCUAGUCUCUCCCAAAAGAAAGAAGCUGACUGCCGAUUUGAUUUUCUUCAUCGAACGACCGCCGAUUCAGGCCAAAUGCAUAGUCAUCUUCAAAAAUUUCUGUCUGGUGUUAACGCUGCACUGAGUAUAGAGAUUGAUGAUCCUGCGAUAGAAGCUCUAGAGUUUCUGAUAUACGAUGAAGAGAUGGGAGAGGGAAAGGGAAACAGAUGUAUACCCCAGAACAAGAGAAGGGUUCGAAUCCUGGAGGGAGCAGAAUAUUUGAAAUUUUGUUAUUCAUCAGUAUAUACGACCCUGUUCAUCAGUAUAUAUGCCUUAUUCAUUAUGAUUUUUUUAAAUUUUAUUUUUCAUCAGUAUAUACAUCUUGUUCAUUAGAUAUACGUUUUGUUCAUUAGUAUUAUAUGUCUUAUUCAUUGUACUCAUGUUACACGAAAAAUAGGGGGUCUCACUGGAGCGCGCCCCUAUAUAUAUAUAUAUAUAUAUAUAUAUAAUUUACUGAUAAAUACAAAAUAUAUAUAUAUAGACGUAUACUAUACUAGCUUUUUACACACAUGUUUUUUGCUUUAAUUUUAAAAGAUGGCUUUUGAACUUAUUGAAAAAUAUUAAAUUAUUUAGAAUCAAUCAACUUAGAUACAAAAAUUCCAAAGAGAAGUGAUACAUUAACAUUAAUUAAUCUCUUUAAAAAAAUUGAUAAUUAAAGUAAGAAAAAAAUGUUAAUUAAAAUAAAAGACAGCUAAACAACCACAAAUCACUCCUCUACAUAAUAUUCUAAUUAAAACAAGAAGGAAAAAAAAACGCUAAUUAAAAUUAAAGCACGAGCUUUUACUCUUGUUUCAAUUCACUCUUUUAUUAGUUAACCCAAUAUAUGAAAAUCAUAUAUAUUUUUAUAUACAUAAUAAUAUCUUAAAUUUUUACAUAAGAAAAAGUUUGGAAUUGAACAUCGUUACUUGGUUUCUUCCUCAAAAUAUUUUCCCACCCAAAAUUAAAAGCCCUAGCCUCCUCACCUCCUCCUUCGCCGCUGCCGUCCACCAUCCUACCUCCUCUUUUGUCAUUGUCGUCUGCCACCCUAUCUCCUCCUUCGCCGCUGCCAUCCACCACCCUACCUCCUCAUUCGCGCCGCCGUGAGGAUUCUCUCUCUCUCUCUCUAAUUAUACAUUUAAUGUUUGUCAGCUUCCCGCUGCCGCCGCCUGCCUCGCCGCCGCGGUUACUGUUGGCCUCUGUUUUACGAGGUUAAUUCCUAAGCUUCUCUGCUUCGAGGAAAUCUAAUUGCUCUUACGAAGAAGUAUAUCCUGAAUUUGAUUGCUUCAGCAGGUUCGCUGCUCUGAAAUAAUUAUGAAAAAGUUGGAUAUAAAUUGUGAUCCAACAGAUUUGAUGCAGUGAACAGGGAGCAGGCCCUUCUUCAUUGAGAAAAAAUUCAAGUAAAUUGCUAUCAUCAUUAUUGCUAUCAUUAAUGUUUAACAAAAUUCUAUUCAUUCUUUUUUGACUAAUUGAUCGCAGUAGUUGUUAGACGACAUGAUUAUUUAUGUGCGCCUAUUUAUAAUGGAAAUUGAGAUUCUUGUACACAGUAUAAGGUUUCAUGUCUCUUUCCAGGAAGAAGAGUUAGUUUGUUUUGUUGAUUUGAGUUGCAAAAAGAGUAGUUUCGAGUUCACAUUUUGUAUGAAUUACACUACAUUUUAGUGGAGUUUCGUUCAUCAUUUCUCAUUUUUGAAUUUCUGAAGGUUCCAUAGGUGUUAUCGAGUAGUAGAAAAAAGUGAAACUAGUUAUUGAUUGCAAUAUGCAUAUCUUUAUAUUUUAAAUUGAUCUAAUAAGCUUAGAAGUAAGUCUAUGUAAAGAUUCUUUCACUCACUCUAUCUGCAGCUUGGGACUUUAUGUUUUUCCUCUUUGGGUUGCUCAUCAUCUUUAUGAGAAAGACAUGUGUAGAAUUUUGAUAUCCUUUUCAAUACCAAACUAAACAUAUCCUUAGAAACAAAACUACUAUUAGAACCUGAGAGUUAUCUGGCGAAUGUUAUGCAUACAAUUUUUUGCGAUUCUAUAUUAAGUAUAAUUCAUAUCUUAGGCUUUGCUUAUUUCCAUUUCUCACAGAACACUUUUUAUGCUUUAUUUAAAUACUACAUAUACAUACUACAAUUAAUGAAGUUGCUUGGUUUCUGAUGUUUCAUUAGUUUCACAGCAGUAACGCAUAUCAUUUUGCACCUUACCAGCCAAAUUUUACUCAAAUUUACCAAGCUAUGUUGUUGUUUCUAAGUGUAUACACAGAUCCAUCGGGUCAUGUCCUUGAGUUUCAAUUGUUUCAUCUGUUAGCAUUUUCGUCAACAUGUUCUUGUUCGCUCAGGUAAUUCAAAUCUAUUAGCUUGUAAAUUAGGUAGUUCAGAUCGAGUUAAGAUUAAAUCACUACAAAUAUUGGUCGAAAGACUUAAAUCACAUUAUUAAGUAAUUAAAAUUACUUAACCUUUCUAUAGUGUACUUUUAUAACUCUUCUUGUACCAGUUUCCCAGAGCCAUUUACAGUGUACAAAGGGAAGUGUCAGUAAGGAGCAUGCAGUCAUGGUUUUAAAGCUAUAAAAGGACAUGCAAAAUGUCAGGUUAUGAAGUCAUGUUCACAGAAUAGUCUCCAGUUUAGAAGAUUAUGCGUUGAUGAGAGCACACGUAAGAUUGUAGAGUAUUUUAGUAUGUGGAGUGCAAGAAAGAGUUGCAGCCUUCAUCAAUUUCAGAUAUGUUACAUUUGUGAACAAAUGAAGCUGUUGCGAAGAUGGAAUUAACCAAGUGUUCUAAUGUUGACGGGAUAGCCUGUGAUAAAGUGCUCGAAGAAAUAUCAAAAGUGCUAAAUAAAUUGUGUAGUUAUCUAAGACUUUUUUAGUAGUUCUCAUUUUAAUAGUGUAUUUUGAUUUUAUUGAAAUAUUAAGUAAAUUUUUAUAUGAAAGUAUUCUUAUGUUUUAA